rnacentral:rRNA from 1 species
UGGGGAAUAUUGGACAAUGGGCGGAAGCCUGAUCCAGCCAUGCCGCGUGUGUGAAGAAGGCCUUAUGGUUGUAAAGCACUUUAAGCGAGGAGGAGGCUACUUUAGUUAAUACCUAGAGAUAGUGGACGUUACUCGCAGAAUAAGCACCGGCUAACUCUGUGCCAGCAGCCGCGGUAAUACAGAGGGUGCAAGCGUUAAUCGGAUUUACUGGGCGUAAAGCGCGCGUAGGCGGCUAAUUAAGUCAAAUGUGAAAUCCCCGAGCUUAACUUGGGAAUUGCAUUCGAUACUGGUUAGCUAGAGUGUGGGAGAGGAUGGUAGAAUUCCAGGUGUAGCGGUGAAAUGCGUAGAGAUCUGGAGGAAUACCGAUGGCGAAGGCAGCCAUCUGGCCUAACACUGACGCUGAGGUGCGAAAGCAUGGGGAGCAAACA